rnacentral:rRNA from 1 species
GCAAGUCGAACGGACCGUACACGUAGCUUGCUGCGUGUAUGGUUAGUGGCAGACGGGUGAGUAAUGCAUAGGAAUCUGCCUAGUAGUAUAGGAUAGCCACUAGAAGUGGUGGGUAAUACUGUAUAAUCCCUGCGGGGGAAAGAUUUAUCGCUACAUGAUGAGCCUAUGUUAGAUUAGCUAGUUGGUGGGGUAAUGGCCUACCAAGGCAGUGAUCUAUAGCUGGUCUGAGAGGAUGAUCAGCCACACUGGAACUGAGACACGGUCCAGACUCCUACGGGAGGCAGCAGUGGGGAAUAUUGGACAAUGGGCGCAAGCCUGAUCCAGCUAUGCCGCGUGAGUGAGGAAGGCCUUAGGGUUGUAAAACUCUUUCAGUGGGGAAGAUAAUGACGGUACCCACAGAAAAAGUCCCGGCAAACUC